rnacentral:rRNA from 1 species
AACCUACGGGGCGCAGCAGUGAGGAAUAUUGGUCAAUGGGAGAGAUCCUGAACCAGCCAAGCCGCGUGAGGGAAGACGGCCCUAUGGGUUGUAAACCUCUUUUGUCGGAGAACAAAACCCGGGACGUGUCCCGGACUGCGUGUAUCCGAAGAAAAAGCAUCGGCUAACUCCGUGCCAGCAGCCGCGGUAAUACGGAGGAUGCGAGCGUUAUCCGGAUUUAUUGGGUUUAAAGGGUGCGUAGGCGGCCUGGCAAGCCUGAUGUGAAAUACCGGGGCCCAACCCCGGGGCUGCAUUGGGAACUGCAA